GGAGGACCAGCAAUACUGUAUUUCGUUCCCUGAUUUCCCGGGAGGUUCAGAGACAUUUGAGACGGCUGCCAAGUUCUGUUAUGGUGUGAAAAUCGAGUUGUCUGCAUUGAACGUUGCUCCACUCCGCUGUGCGGGUGAGUACUUGGAGAUGACUGAAGAGUACUCUGAGGAUAACCUCAUUUCCAAGACGGAGAGGUUUCUUUCACAGACA
rnacentral:misc_RNA from 1 species